AGAGUUUGAUCCUGGCUCAGAACGAACGCUGGCGGCGUGGAUAAGACAUGCAAGUCGAACGAGAGAAUUGCUAGCUUGCUAAUAAUUCUCUAGUGGCGCACGGGUGAGUAACACGUGAGUAACCUGCCCCCGAGAGCGGGAUAGCCCUGGGAAACUGGGAUUAAUACCGCAUAGUAUCGAAAGAUUAAAGCAGCAAUGCGCUUGGGGAUGGGCUCGCGGCCUAUUAGUUAGUUGGUGAGGUAACGGCUCACCAAGGCGAUGACGGGUAGCCGGUCUGAGAGGAUGUCCGGCCACACUGGAACUGAGACACGGUCCAGACACCUACGGGUGGCAGCAGUCGAGAAUCAUUCACAAUGGGGGAAACCCUGAUGGUGCGACGCCGCGUGGGGGAAUGAAGGUCUUCGGAUUGUAAACCCCUGUCAUGUGGGAGCAAAUUAAAAAGAUAGUACCACAAGAGGAAGAGACGGCUAACUCUGUGCCAGCAGCCGCGGUAAUACAGAGGUCUCAAGCGUUGUUCGGAAUCACUGGGCGUAAAGCGUGCGUAGGCUGUUUCGUAAGUCGUGUGUGAAAGGCGCGGGCUCAACCCGCGGACGGCACAUGAUACUGCGAGACUAGAGUAAUGGAAGGGGAACCGGAAUUCUCGGUGUAGCAGUGAAAUGCGUAGAUAUCGAGAGGAACACUCGUGGCGAAGGCGGGUUCCUGGACAUUAACUGACGCUGAGGCACGAAGGCCAGGGGAGCGAAAGGGAUUAGAUACCCCUGUAGUCCUGGCAGUAAACGGUGCACGCUUGGUGUGCGGGGAAUCGACCCCCUGCGUGCCGGAGCUAACGCGUUAAGCGUGCCGCCUGGGGAGUACGGUCGCAAGAUUAAAACUCAAAGAAAUUGACGGGGACCCGCACAAGCGGUGGAGUAUGUGGCUUAAUUCGAUGCAACGCGAAGAACCUUACCUGGGCUUGACAUGUAAUGAACAACAUGUGAAAGCAUGCGACUCUUCGGAGGCGUUACACAGGUGCUGCAUGGCCGUCGUCAGCUCGUGUCGUGAGAUGUUUGGUUAAGUCCAGCAACGAGCGCAACCCCUGUUGCCAGUUACCAGCACGUGAAGGUGGGGACUCUGGCGAGACUGCCCAGAUCAACUGGGAGGAAGGUGGGGACGACGUCAGGUCAGUAUGGCCCUUAUGCCCAGGGCUGCACACGUACUACAAUGCCCAGUACAGAGGGGGCCGAAGCCGCGAGGCGGAGGAAAUCCUAAAAACUGGGCCCAGUUCGGACUGUAGGCUGCAACCCGCCUACACGAAGCCGGAAUCGCUAGUAAUGGCGCAUCAGCUACGGCGCCGUGAAUACGUUCCCGGGUCUUGUACACACCGCCCGUCACAUCAUGGAAGCCGGUCGCACCCGAAGUAUCUGAAGCCAACCGCAAGGAGGCAGGGUCCUAAGGUGAGACUGGUAACUGGGAUGAAGUCGUAACAAGGUA
rnacentral:rRNA from 1 species